rnacentral:ncRNA from 1 species
AUAUAAAUCAACGGAAAUAGUAAGUGAAGGAAGAAUUUCAGAAAGUACGUGGCUAAUGUGAACGUAUAACUUCUUUGACUGAACUCAUCCAUUUAAGUUUAAUUGCUGAACUAACAGUAGGUGAUUACGAAUAGUCCGCGUUAAGGCAUUCAAGAGUCGCUCUCAUUGAGCGGAACUUAGGUGGUAACGCGAUAAUUUCGUCCUAUGA